UACGUAGGGACCGAGCGUUGUCCGGAUUCAUUGGGCGUAAAGAGCUCGUAGGCGGCCACUCAAGUCGAAUGUGAAACCUCGAGGCUUAACCUCGAGCCUGCAUUCGAUACUGGGCGGCUAGAGUCUGGUAGGGGGAUCUGGAAUUCCUGGUGUAGCGGUGGAAUGCGCAGAUAUCAGGUGGAACACCGAUGGCGAAGGCAGUGAUCUGGGACGUGACUGACGCUGAGACGCGAAAGCGUGGGGGGAGCAAACAGG
rnacentral:rRNA from 1 species